AUUGAACGCUGGCGGCAGGCCUAACACAUGCAAGUCGAGCGGAUGAAGGGAGCUGGCUCCUGGAUUCAGCGGCGGACGGGUGAGUAAUGCCUAGGAAUCUGCCUGGUAGGGGGGGAUAACGUCCGGAAACGGGCGCUAAUACCGCAUACGUCCUGAGGGAGAAAGUGGGGGAUCUUCGGACCUCACGCUAUCAGAUGAGCCUAGGUCGGAUUAGCUAGUUGGUGGGGUAAAGGCCUACCAAGGCGACGAUCCGUAACUGGUCUGAGAGGAUGAUCAGUCACACUGGAACUGAGACACGGUCCAGACUCCUACGGGAGGCAGCAGUGGGGAAUAUUGGACAAUGGGCGAAAGCCUGAUCCAGCCAUGCCGCGUGUGUGAAGAAGGUCUUCGGAUUGUAAAGCACUUUAAGUUGGGAGGAAGGGCAGUAAGUUAAUACCUUGCUGUUUUGACGUUACCAACAGAAUAAGCACCGGCUAACUUCGUG
rnacentral:rRNA from 1 species